AGGGAUCAUUACCGAGUUUACAACUCCCAAACCCCAAUGUGAACGUUACCAAUCUGUUGCCUCGGCGGGAUUCUCUUGCCCCGGGCGCGUCGCAGCCCCGGAUCCCAUGGCGCCCGCCGGAGGACCAACUCCAAACUCUUUUUUUCUCUCCGUCGCGGCUCCCGUCGCGGCUCUGUUUUAUUUUUGCUCUGAGCCUUUCUCGGCGACCCUAGCGGGCGUCUCGAAAAUGAAUCAAAACUUUCAACAACGGAUCUCUUGGUUCUGGCAUCGAUGAAGAACGCAGCGAAAUGCGAUAAGUAAUGUGAAUUGCAGAAUUCAGUGAAUCAUCGAAUCUUUGAACGCACAUUGCGCCCGCCAGUAUUCUGGCGGGCAUGCCUGUCCGAGCGUCAUUUCAACCCUCGAACCCCUCCGGGGGGUCGGCGUUGGGGAUCGGCCCCUCACCGGGCCGCCCCCGAAAUACAGUGGCGGUCUCGCCGCAGCCUCUCCUGCGCAGUAGUUUGCACACUCGCACCGGGAGCGCGGCGCGGCCACAGCCGUAAAACACCCCAAACUUCUGAAAUGUUGACCUCGGAUCAGGUAGGAAUACCCGCUGAACUUAAGCAUAUCAAUAA
rnacentral:rRNA from 1 species